CCUACGGGAGGCAGCAGUGGGGAAUAUUGCACAAUGGGCGCAAGCCUGAUGCAGCGACGUCGCGUGGAGGAUGAAGGUUUUCGGAUUGUAAACUCCUGUUAAACGGAAAGAAAGAGGCGGGGCUAAUAACCCUGUCAUGAUGACGUUACCGUUAAAGAAAGCACCGGCUAACUUCGUGCCAGCAGCCGCGGUAAUACGAAGGGUGCGAGCGUUAUUCGGAAUAACUGGGCGUAAAGGGCGCGUAGGCGGUAUCUUAAGUCGACGGUUAAAGACUAUGGCUUAACCAUGGAAGUGCCGGCGAUACUGGGAUGCUAGAGGGUAGUAGAGAGGAGUGGAAUUCUCGGAGUAGCGGUAAAAUGCGUAGAUCUCGAGAGGAACACCGAUGGCGAAGGCAGCUCCUUGGGCUACAACUGACGCUAAGGCGCGAAAGCGUGGGGAGCAAACAGGAUUAGAUACCCUGGUAGUCCACGCUGUAAACGAUGAUUACUGGAUAUAGGGCGUGCGUGCAUGCUCUGUGUCGAAGCUCACGCGUUAAGUAAUCCGCCUGGGAAGUACGGUCGCAAGAUUAAAACUCAAAGGAAUUGACGGGGGUCCGCACAAGCGGUGGAACAUGUGGUUUAAUUCGACACUACGCGAGAAACCUUACCUAGGCUUGACAUGUACUUGACCAUUAUAGAAAUAUGAUUUUCUGGGGUAACUCAGACGAGUACACAGGUGCUGCAUGGCUGUCGUCAGCUCGUGUCGUGAGAUGUUAGGUUAAGUCCUUUAACGAGCGCAACCCUUGCCGUUAGUUGCUCUGCGAAAGCAUGCACUCUAGCGGGACUGCCUUGGGAACAAGGAGGAAGGUGGGGAUGACUUCAAGUCCUCAUGGCCCUUAUGCCUAGGGCUACACACGUGUUACAAUGGGAAGUACAGAGCGAAGCAAGUCCGCGAGGAUGAGCAAAUCGCAGAAAACUUCUCUCAGUUCGGAUUGGAGUCUGCAACUCGACUCCAUGAAGUUGAAAUCGCUAGUAAUCGCGCAUCAGAACGGCGCGGUGAAUACGUUCUCGGACCUUGUACACACCGCCCGU
rnacentral:rRNA from 1 species